UGUUUUAUCUUGGAGGUGAGAACGUACGGUCAACCCGGUUGCAAACAUAUAUACGGGGCAUUCAAAUACCUUAAGAAGAGUAUAUAUAUACGACUCAACUCUACUUCAGAGGGACGGUUUCUGCUAUUGUUUCAAAGGAUCAAUUGAACAACCUCUAAUGGUGCACGCAUUGCUGACUCCGUCACUGGAUCUCAUAUUGAUGCACGCAACAUGGGAAGGGAUGUUCGUUCGAGCUCACUAGCUGGUCAAGUUAAGCCUUCAGAGAGAGAAUGUAGGAAGGAGGAUCGCUGCAGAGGUGGCACAACGUCACCACCACCACCACCAGAGAGAGAAUGUAGGAAGGAGGAUCGCUGCAGAGGUGGCACACCAUCACCACCACCACCAAACGAAACCGGCCAUGUAUGAAAUAUAUAUAUAUAUAUAUAUAUAUAUUAAAUAAAUGUAGUGGUUAAUAAGCAAAACUCUUUAUAAAAGAGUUUUGAAUAAGAUUCUUUGUAAUGACCUUUUGGGGAUCUUU